UUGCAAGAAAACAAUGGAAGGGUGUGGUACUACACGUUUCAAGCAACACCUUGCAUCGCAUGGGGGAACGUGCAAGGUUGUCGCAACGUUCCGUCGGACAAUUACUUUCGGCGGGAGCUUGACAAGGUCCAUGAUAAAAGGAAAGCAAGAAUAGCGGAAGAGGCACAAAAGUUGCAAGUGGCAGGUUCGCAUCGUGUUUCCGAUGAUGAUGAUGAUGAGUUACAGGCCGCAAUCCGUGCGUCGAGAGAGGAGGAGGAGCUUAGGAGGCGUGCUCGUGCGAGCGGUGCCUUGUAUGAGACGGGUGGUGGCUCGUCCCAAGGUGGUCUCUAUGCCGCGUUUGGGAGAAUAUGUUCUAGGAAGGAGAAGCCACAUAUGGUGCAAACAAGGAUUGAUGUGGGUCCGUUCUCUAAGGCAGGAAAGAAUGUGGUCCAUUGUUUUGGUCAGCAAUGGGCUAAGUGGUUCCAUGCGGAGGCGAUUCCAGGGCAUAAAGCUAACAUUCCAUAUUUCAUCAAUGCAUUCAGAGAGACACAAAAACAUGGUGAGUGUGGAUCCAAAGUUUAUCAUUGUCAAUCAAUGUCGUACAUUUCUCUCAUUCAUAUUGUACCUGACAAUCAGUACUUAGACGAGAAUGAGAAGGAAUUACAGGUUGAUUUCACGAAGUUCAAGGAGGACUAG
rnacentral:misc_RNA from 1 species